AGAGUUUGAUCCUGGCUCAGGAUGAACGCUAGCGGCAGGCCUAAUACAUGCAAGUCGAACGAGAUUAAGAGGCUUGCUUCUUAUGAAAGUGGCGCACGGGUGCGUAACGCGUAUGCAACCUACCUUAAUCAGGGGGAUAGCCCGAAGAAAUUCGGAUUAAGACCGCAUAAAAACACAGGAUAGCAUUAUCCAAUGUUCAAAUAUUUAUAGGAUUAAGAUGGGCAUGCGUGUCAUUAGCUAGUUGGCGGGGUAACGGCCCACCAAGGCGACGAUGACUAGGGGAUCUGAGAGGAUGACCCCCCACACUGGUACUGAGACACGGACCAGACUCCUACGGGAGGCAGCAGUAAGGAAUAUUGGUCAAUGGAGGGAACUCUGAACCAGCCAUGCCGCGUGCAGGAAGACAGCCCUCUGGGUCGUAAACUGCUUUUAUUCGGGAAUAAACCUUUCUACGUGUAGGAAGCUGGAUGUACCGAAGGAAUAAGGAUCGGCUAACUCCGUGCCAGCAGCCGCGGUAAUACGGAGGAUCCAAGCGUUAUCCGGAUUUAUUGGGUUUAAAGGGUGCGUAGGCGGCUUAUUAAGUCAGGGGUGAAAGACGGUGGCUCAACCAUCGCAGUGCCCUUGAUACUGAUGAGCUUGAAUACACUAGAGGUAGGCGGAAUGUGACAAGUAGCGGUGAAAUGCAUAGAUAUGUCACAGAACACCGAUUGCGAAGGCAGCUUACUAUGGUGUUAUUGACGCUGAGGCACGAAAGCGUGGGGAUCAAACAGGAUUAGAUACCCUGGUAGUCCACGCCCUAAACGAUGAAUACUCGCUGUUAGCGAUAUACAGCUAGCGGCUAAGCGAAAGCGUUAAGUAUUCCACCUGGGGAGUACGCCCGCAAGGGUGAAACUCAAAGGAAUUGACGGGGGCCCGCACAAGCGGAGGAGCAUGUGGUUUAAUUCGAUGAUACGCGAGGAACCUUACCCGGGCUUGAAAGUUAGUGAAUGAUCUAGAGAUAGAUCAGUGAGCAAUCACACGAAACUAGGUGCUGCAUGGCUGUCGUCAGCUCGUGCCGUGAGGUGUUGGGUUAAGUCCCGCAACGAGCGCAACCCCUAUGUUUAGUUGCCAGCACGUUAAGGUGGGGACUCUAAACAGACUGCCUGUGCAAACAGAGAGGAAGGAGGGGACGACGUCAAGUCAUCAUGGCCCUUACGUCCGGGGCUACACACGUGCUACAAUGGAUGGUACAGAGGGCAGCAAGCUGGCAACAGCAAGCGAAUCUCAAAAAGCCAUUCACAGUUCGGAUAGAGGUCUGCAACUCGACCUCUUGAAGUUGGAUUCGCUAGUAAUCGCGUAUCAGCAAUGACGCGGUGAAUACGUUCCCGGGCCUUGUACACACCGCCCGUCAAGCCAUGGAAGUUGGGGGUACCUAAAGUAUGUAACCGUAAGGAGCGUCCUAGGGUAAAACCGAUAACUGGGGCUAAGUCGUAACAAGGUAGCCGU
rnacentral:rRNA from 1 species